GGACAAUCCAGUGGGAAGGUUUGAAAGAUGAACUUAAUACGAGUAUUAAAUGCUGUCGGGGUCGAUGAAUUUGAAGAAUUGGGGUUUCCUUUUGUGGCUUGCCUUUCUUCAUAAAACAUUGGAGCAGUAGAUUUUGUCCCAAAAUUUUCAUUUAAGUGUAGGAAUGCUUUUAUUUAGUUAUUUGAUUGGUCGGAAUUUUCCUGAACUAUAUAGAUGCUUAUCCACCAAGUGUCCCUCGUUUGCCGGUUAUGGAAUCUUAUACUUAGCUCUCGGUUUCUUUGCAAUUGUCUCAGUAUCUUGGCAACCAAAAGGAGUGUUAGAUUUAUUUAUAAUGUUCUAUCUUGAUUUCAACUUUUCAAGGAACUGCAAAUGGACCAAUGAUUUUUUAUCUUUUUUUUUUGUUAAGU
rnacentral:misc_RNA from 1 species